UGGCACUUCCGCCGGCUGUCCCUCUUUUAGGCCAGAUGUCCCUCAGCUUCUGCUUCCUUUGUGUUGGCGUUCGAACGUCCGGUGGAUUUCUGAGGACCAUGGUUACCUGGUCCUCAGC